CUACAAAUGAAUUGACGGGGACCCGCACAAGCAGCGGAGCGUGUGGUUUAAUUCGUUGCUACACGAAGAACCUUACCUGGGUUUGACAUAUAGGUUGUAGGGAACUGAAAGGGACCGACCCUUCGGGGAGCCUAUCAGGUGUUGCAUGGCUGUCGUCAGCUCGUGUCGUGAGAUGUUCGGUUAAGUCCGCUAACGAGCGCAACCCUCGUCGUAUGUUAUAUGUGUCAUACGAGACUGCCGGUAAAAGCCGGAGGAAGGUGAGGAUGAUGUCAAGUCAGCAUGACCUUUAUAUCCAGGGCUACACACACGCUACAAUGGUCUGUACAAUGGGUAGCCAAGCCGCGAGGCGGAGCCAAUCCUGAAAGCAGGCCUCAGUUCAGAUUGCAGUCUGCAACUCGACUGCAUGAAGCCGGAGUUGCUAGUAACCGCAGGUCAGCAAUACUGCGGUGAAUACGUUCCCGGGUCUU
rnacentral:rRNA from 1 species